rnacentral:lncRNA from 1 species
GGAGAUUUCUCUCAAAACGUUGGCUCCAGCGACAUUCCUUGUUCUACCGCUAUUUACGGUUAAAAGGAAGCAUUAUUGCUCUUGCUGAAGUAUUGUGAAUUAUGGAACAAAAAUUAGCAGGGUGAAAUGUCAA